GAUGAACGCUGGCGGCGUGCUUAAUACAUGCAAGUCGAACGGUGAACACGGAGCUUGCUCUGUGGGAUCAGUGGCGAACGGGUGAGUAACACGUGAGCAACCUGCCCCUGACUCUGGGAUAAGCGCUGGAAACGGCGUCUAAUACUGGAUAUGUGACGUGACCGCAUGGUCUGCGUUUGGAAAGAUUUUUCGGUUGGGGAUGGGCUCGCGGCCUAUCAGCUUGUUGGUGAGGUAAUGGCUCACCAAGGCGUCGACGGGUAGCCGGCCUGAGAGGGUGACCGGCCACACUGGGACUGAGACACGGCCCAGACUCCUACGGGAGGCAGCAGUGGGGAAUAUUGCACAAUGGGCGCAAGCCUGAUGCAGCAACGCCGCGCGAGGGAUGACGGCCUUCGGGUUGUAAACCUCUUUUAGCGGGGAAGAAGCGAAAGUGACGGUACCUGCAGAAAAAGCGCCGGCUAACUACGUG
rnacentral:rRNA from 1 species